UACUGUGUACGCUUUAAUAAAGCAAUAGCGACGUUUGCAAAAUAUCUUUUUAUUUUUAACAAAACUGCACCAUUUUUAUUAGGUCCCAAAUCAAAAUCCCCAAAUCCCUUAGAUUUUCCCCGACCUUCUGCUACAUCGUCGUUCGGCUGAGAAAGGGGAGUUCUAGGAAAUCUGGUCGCGAUUCGACUAAGAAGAAAGAGCCUGUGACACCUAGUAGUGAUAGGUGUAGAUGGUAAAAGUCCUUGCCAGCAAUUGAUUGCCGCCUCUGCAUCCGGCUAGGGUUUAAUGAAUAACCAAGAAGGCGACAUCAAGUUUCCUUUUAUCCUAUCACCAUGAGUGCCAAGUGGAAGAAGAAGCGCAUGAGAAGAUUGAAGAGGAAGCGCCGAAAGAUGAGACAGAGAUCCAAGUAGAUAGAACCAUCAGCCCCUCUAUUAUACGAGGUUUCUCAAUGUCUUAGCUAAUAUCGGUGUACUUUUAGGGUCCACUUAGUUAUCUGCCAUUUUUAUUUUAGUUUUAAGCUUUUUUUUUUCUCUUGGGUUUCUAUUGUCUUUCAAGUUGGUGCUAAUCCGACAGUGGGAUGAUGUAUCAUUGUUAAGAUUGGAGUUUAAUUUGAAUUUUCUCUUAUAGUCUCCAAUAUAAUAAAAAAAUUUCUCUGCUA